rnacentral:rRNA from 1 species
CCUGAUCCAGCCAUACCGCUUGUGUGAAGAAGGCCCUAGGGUUGUAAAGCACUUUAAGUUGGGAAGAAAAGUUAUUGGUUAAUAUCCAAUAACCGUGACAUUACCAUCAGAAUAAGGACCGGCUAAUUNCGUGCCAGCAGCCGCGGUAAUACGGAAGGUCCAAGCGUUAAUCGGAAUUACUGGGCGUAAAGCGCGCGUAGGUGGUUAAUUAAGUUGGAUGUGAAAUCCCCGGGCUCAACCUGGGAACUGCAUCCAAAACUGAUUCACUAGAGUACGAUAGAGGGAGGUAGAAUUCACAUGUGUAGCGGUGGAAUGCGUAGAUAUUGUGAAGAAUACCAAUGGCGAAGGCAGCCUCCUGGAUCUGUACUGACACUGAGGUGCGAAAGCGUGGGUAGCGAACAGGAUUAGAUACCCUGGUAGUCCNACGCCGUAAAACGAUGUCAACUAGCUGUUNGGGGAANCUAUGUNCCUUCAGUGGCGCANACCUAAACGUAGUAAGUUNGACCGCCUGGGGAGUACCGGCCGCAAGGCCUAAAACUCAAA